rnacentral:lncRNA from 1 species
AGCCAGGUGGCGCCCCCUUUGCCUUUCAUUGGCCGGCUGUCGGAUGCGGUGUCUUACCGCAGGGACAGCGCCAGCGAGCAGCCAAACAGCCCAGCAGCUGCCAGCAUGGCAGAGGUGAAUUUCUUGACAUUUAUUGCCUCUUAACUCCUGGUCAAGGACGGGUCUUGCCGGUUAUGCUCCUGAAGUCCUGUCAAAGGGAAUCAACCCCAGUGUCUAGCUGGCACUAAAGUGCAGGCUGAAUGGCACCAGAAAGGGUAAGAGGACGGCACUGGCUUGUGAGAUGAGAACAGCAGCAGCUGAAAAACAUGACUACGGCUCUGCCUUCUCCCGCAUUAGCACGCUAUGUUGCACAAGUAAUGAAGGUUUUUCUGUCUCUGACAUGGGACAGCAAUGCUGCAGUGGGAUCUGUAUUAGAUAUAGUUAGUAAUGCUACAGCACACAAAACAAGCCCGCAACCCGUGAGUCAUUCCUGCAGAGAAGAAGAGAAGCAGACGAGGCGAUGUGAGGAGCCCUGAACAUGCAGCUGUGUGGGGACAGUGGUUAGUGUGCAGACUGCGAGCUGUGAGACAAGAACCAUACUGGUGGUCUCAAAGUAAUCAAAGUGACAAUCAGGGAGGAAAAAACAGUUAGAUGUAGAUGAUAAAUAUACUGUGGUAGUCAUCCUAAAACCCCCAUUUUUUUUUUGCCAAAAAGGGUGUAUAGAUAAGACCCUAUCUCCCAAAAUGUAAAAUCUAUGAUUAUCUUGAGAGCAGAUUCGGAAAGCUCUCGACAAGCCCAAUCCAAUGAAGCAUGGCCCUGGUAUAUUUGAUGCCAGGAAGACCCCUAAAUGUUGCUUUGAAAGAUUUCCCGCACUGCCGAGGUUGCGGGUUUUAGAAUGACUACUACAGUAGAUCCCCCCAAGUGGUGAGGGUCAGGGGUUGGUGAUUCGUGCGCAGGAAUUGAUGUUGGGACGCGCGCCGUCGCUGCAGGCGGCCAGGGCGCUGAUGAGGGACACCCCAGUGGGCUCACCCCCGGACGCCGCCACUCUGGGGUCAACCGCACCGGAGCUGGAAGUUGCGCCUCGCCAGG